rnacentral:rRNA from 1 species
GACGAACGCUGGCGGCGUGCUUAACACAUGCAAGUCGAACGGAAAGGCCCUGCUUUUGUGGUGUGCUCGAGUGGCGAACGGGUGUGUAACACGUGAGUAACCUGCCCCUUACUUUGGGAUAACUUCAGGAAACUGGGGCUAAUACCGGAUAGGAGCUCCUGCUGCAUGGUGGGGGUUGGAAAGUUGCGGCGGUUGGGGAUGUACUCGCGGCUUAUCAGCUUGUUGGUGGGGUAGUGGCUUACCAAGGCUUUGACGGAUAGCCGGCCUGAGAGGGUGACCGGCCACAUUGGGACUGAGAUACGGACCAGACUGCUACGGGCGGCAGCAGUGGGGAAUAUUGCACAAUGGGCGGAAGCCUGAUGCAGGAACGCCGCGUGCGGGAUGACGGCCUUCGGGUUGUAAGCCGCUUUCGCCUGUGACGAAGCGUGAGUGACGGUAAUGGGUAAAGAAGCACCGGCUAACUACGUG